GACGAACGCUGGCGGCGUGCUUAACACAUGCAAGUCGAACGGAGCGAAUGAAAGCUUGCUUUUAUAAGCUUAGUGGCAAACGGGUGAGUAACACGUAGGCAACCUGCCGACAGGAUGGGGACAACAUUCCGAAAGGAAUGCUAAUACCGAAUGAAGCGCAGGAGAGGCAUCUCUCCUGCGUGAAAGAUGGCCUCUAUAUAUAAGCUAUCACCUGUCGAUGGGCCUGCGUCUGAUUAGCUGGUAGGUGAGGUAACGGCUCACCUAGGCGACGAUCAGUAGCCGGUCUGAGAGGAUGAACGGCCACAUUGGGACUGAGACACGGCCCAGACUCCUACGGGAGGCAGCAGUGGGGAAUCUUCCGCAAUGGGCGCAAGCCUGACGGAGCAACGCCGCGUGAGUGAAGAAGGUCUUCGGAUCGUAAAGCUCUGUUGAUGGGGACGAACGUGCCUAAUGCGAAUAGUAUUAGGUAAUGACGGUACCCAUCGAGGAAGCC
rnacentral:rRNA from 1 species